UGGGGUAUAUUGGACAAUGGGGGGAACCCUGAUCCAGCCAUGCCGCGUGUGUGAAGAAGGCCUUAUGGUUGUAAAGCACUUUAAGCGAGGAGGAGGGUACUGGUAUUAAUACUACCAGGUACUGGACGUUACUCGCAGAAUAAGCACCGGCUAACUCUGUGCCAGCAGCCGCGGUAAUACAGAGGGUGCGAGCGUUAAUCGGAUUUACUGGGCGUAAAGCGUGCGUAGGCGGCUAAUUGAGUCGGAUGUGAAAUCCCCGAGCUUAACUUGGGAAUUGCAUUCGAUACUGGUUAGCUAGAGUGUGGGAGAGGAUGGUAGAAUUCCAGGUGUAGCGGUGAAAUGCGUAGAGAUCUGGAGGAAUACCGAUGGCGAAGGCAGCCAUCUGGCCUAACACUGACGCUGAGGUACGAAAGCAUGGGGAGCAAACAGG
rnacentral:rRNA from 1 species